UAAAAUUUAAAUUUAAAAUACUAAAAUAGUAGGUAAUUGAUUAUUGAAACUUAAAUAAUUUGGCGGUAUUUUAGUUCAUUUAGAGGAAUCUGUUUAAUAAUUGAUAUUCCACGAAUAAAUUUACUUAAUUUAUAGUUUUGUAUAUCGUUGUUAAAAAAAUAUUUUUUAAUAAAAUUAAUAUUUAAAAAUUAUUAUAUAAAUUUAAAUCAGAUCAAGAUGCAGAUUAUAAUUAAGAAUAUAAUGGAUUACAAUAAAUUUAUUUAAAUGAAUAUUAAUUUGUAAAAAUUAUUUGAAAGUGGAUUUAAAUGUAAUUUUAUUUAAUUUAAUAAUAUGAUUAAAAAUUAAGAUAUGU
rnacentral:rRNA from 1 species